AGAGUUUGAUCAUGGCUCAGGAUGAACGCUGGCGGCGUGCUUAACACAUGCAAGUCGAGCGAAGCACUCUGCUUUGAUUCUUUCGGGAUGAAGAGCAUUGUGACUGAGCGGCGGACGGGUGAGUAACGCGUGGGUAACCUGCCUCAUACAGGGGGAUAACAGUUAGAAAUGGCUGCUAAUACCGCAUAAGACCACAGCACCGCAUGGUGCAGGGGUAAAAACUCCGGUGGUAUGAGAUGGACCCGCGUCUGAUUAGCUAGUUGGUGGGGUAGCGGCCUACCAAGGCGACGAUCAGUAGCCGACCUGAGAGGGUGACCGGCCACAUUGGGACUGAGACACGGCCCAAACUCCUACGGGAGGCAGCAGUGGGGAAUAUUGCACAAUGGGGGAAACCCUGAUGCAGCGACGCCGCGUGAGCGAAGAAGUAUUUCGGUAUGUAAAGCUCUAUCAGCAGGGAAGAAAAUGACGGUACCUGACUAAGAAGCCCCGGCUAACUACGUGCCAGCAGCCGCGGUAAUACGUAGGGGGCAAGCGUUAUCCGGAUUUAUUGGGUUUAAAGGGAGCGUAGGCCGGAGAUUAAGCGUGUUGUGAAAUGUAGACGCUCAACGUCUGCACUGCAGCGCGAACUGGUUUCCUUGAGUACGCACAAAGUGGGCGGAAUUCGUGGUGUAGCGGUGAAAUGCUUAGAUAUCACGAAGAACUCCGAUUGCGAAGGCAGCUCACUGGAGCGCAACUGACGCUGAAGCUCGAAAGUGCGGGUAUCGAACAGGAUUAGAUACCCUGGUAGUCCGCACGGUAAACGAUGGAUGCCCGCUGUUGGUCUGAACAGGUCAGCGGCCAAGCGAAAGCAUUAAGCAUCCCACCUGGGGAGUACGCCGGCAACGGUGAAACUCAAAGGAAUUGACGGGGGCCCGCACAUGCGGAGGAACAUGUGGUUUAAUUCGAUGAUACGCGAGGAACCUUACCCGGGCUUGAAUUGCAGAGGAAGGAUUUGGAGACAAUGACGCCCUUCGGGGUCUCUGUGAAGGUGCUGCAUGGUUGUCGUCAGCUCGUGCCGCGAGGUGUCGGCUUAAGUGCCAUAACGAGCGCAACCCCUCUCCUUAGUUGCCAUCAGGUUAAGCUGGGCACUCUGGGGACACUGCCACCGUAAGGUGUGAGGAAGGUGGGGAUGACGUCAAAUCAGCACGGCCCUUACGUCCGGGGCUACACACGUGUUACAAUGGCAGGUACAGAGAGACGGUUGUACGUAAGUACGAUCAAAUCCUUAAAGCCUGUCUCAGUUCGGACUGGGGUCUGCAACCCGACCCCACGAAGCUGGAUUCGCUAGUAAUCGCGCAUCAGCCAUGGCGCGGUGAAUACGUUCCCGGGCCUUGUACACACCGCCCGUCAAGCCAUGAAAGCCGGGGGCGCCUAAAGUCCGUGACCGUAAGGAGCGGCCUAGGGCGAAACUGGUAAUUGGGGCUAAGUCGUAACAAGGUA
rnacentral:rRNA from 1 species